GGACUGGAGGAACUCAUAGGUCAGCUGUUGGAUGUGGAGCCUGGCUCUGGAGACUGGAGGAACUCAUAGGUCAGCUGUUGGAUGUGGAGCCUGGCUCUGGAGACUGGAGGAACUCAUAGGUCAGCUGUUGGAUGUGGAGCCUGGCUCUGGAGACUGGAGGAACUCAUAGGUCAGCUGUUGGAUGUGGAGCCUGGCUCUGGAGACUGGAGGAACUCAUAGGUCAGCUGUUGGAUGUGGAGCCUGGCUCUGGAGACUGGAGGAACUCAUAGGUCAGCUGUUGGAUGUGGAGCCUGGCUCUGGAGACUGGAGGAACUCAUAGGUCAGCUGUUGGAUGUGGAGCCUGGCUCUGGAGACUGGAGGAACUCAUAGGUCAGCUGUUGGAUGUGGAGCCUGGCUCUGGGGACUGGAGGAACUCAUAGGUCAGCUGUUGGAUGUGGAGCCUGGCUCUGGAGACUGGAGGAACUCAUAGGUCAGCUGUUGGAUGUGGAGCCUGGCUCUGGAGACUGGAGGAACUCAUAGGUCAGCUGUUGGAUGUGGAGCCUGGCUCUGGAGACUGGAGGAACUCAUAGGUCAGCUGUUGGAUGUGGAGCCUGGCUCUGGAGACUGGAGGAACUCAUAGGUCAGCUGUUGGAUGUGGAGCCUGGCUCUGGAGACU